rnacentral:sRNA from 1 species
GUUGAUUGGGAAACUCAUCAAAUUUUUAUGAAAUGCCGAGACAACCUCGCGCGCCCGAUGGCGGGCCCCAUUCCCCACCCCGUGGGGAAGCCGGUAGCUACCGGCCAGGCGGAUUACAAAGGACGGCGAGACCUCAAAUCCUGUCAUUCGGAGUUUCAUCGCAUCCUUUGAUGUGGC